UGAAAUAAGACAUGAACCCUCUGUCACCCCGGAUUUUAACCGAUUUGUGUCUCUAUUUUUCAUCCCCGUCAGCCCUUGGUCAGUUCUGAGCAUCUGCAUCACCACACCCUUCUUCCAUGAUAUUUCUGCCUUGGAGCCAGCCAAGCAUGGACUGAAUUCCCUGAAACUUGAUGCAAGACAGAAAUAUAUGAACUGAAAGCCACCAAAGAGUGUAUUCAAUUCAUUGUAAUAAUUUCUGAAGGUUGUGUUAAGAAAAGACAGACUGGAAAAUAUGACUGCAGACAAUAUGGCUCUAAUAAGUGUUUUUCAUUGUUAGUCUUUGUGAUGUGAGUUAUUUAAUCUACCUUGUCUGUGUUUUGAAAGGUUUCCCAGUUGCUUCUAAAGAAAAGUUCAAGUAAAGCAAAGUGGUUUAACUUUAGUAUAUUCUAGGCUCAAUUGUAUGCAUUUCAUCCUAAAGAAGACUUUGAUUUUAAAUGUCCAAUGGUAGGUUGGUUACUUCCAAAUAGGAAUGAUUUUUUGCUCCCAAAGCAAAAGCCUAUUAAAUGUUACUAUGUAUCUAUAUUCCACGUGAACUUUAUUUUUACUGUUUCUCUUCAGUUUCUAAAGCUAAAGGAAGAGCUCUCAUGUUGCACCUUUGUAUUGAGAUAGUGAUAGAGCAAUAAAAGCUCUUGCCUUUGCCACCCCUUCACCAUGUUUUUAAAAAAUGUUUUGUUCCAGAAAUGUAACUCUUUGAGCUGCAUGGUGUUCCUGCCCAAUAUAUCAAAAUGUUCUGUAACUGUUUGAGCAUGAUCGCCUAGUACAGAUUUCAGGUAUAUUCUGUGACUGUGCCCUCCGCCUUCUGUGAGCAUGCUUACCUGGCAUGUGCCCCCCACCCUACUCUGUAGAUCUCUAUA